rfam:Sulfolobus tokodaii str. 7 DNA, complete genome.
GCGGGGGUGCCCGAGCUGGUCAAAGGGGGCGGACUCAAGACCCAAGGGGGAUAUCCGCUGGCGUAGGCCUGCGUGGGUUCGAAGCCCACCCCCCGCA